AACUAAAAUUAGAAUUAUCUUGAAUUUGUGGUCUAAAAAUAUAACUAAGUUUUAUUUUGACUAUGGUUUAGUUUUUUCCACUUCAAAUUUCCUUUAUUUUCCCUGGAAUUUUUGAAGGUGAAUUUGUGUGUGAUAUUAUUAAUUAGUAGUGAAGUGUAAUUGGGUGUUGCUGGCAUAUUUAUUAUCCAGGAAUGCUUUCUGACUUAAUGGGGCUGAAGAGGCUGCAAAGUUCAUGUAGCCCGCAGCUCCUUUAUGUAAUAUGUUUCAGUUAUAAUGCAUGUCUCUUUCUUUAA